rnacentral:rRNA from 1 species
AGAGUUUGAUCCUGGCUCAGGAUGAACGCUAGCUACAGGGCUUAACACAUGCAAGUCGAGGGGCAGCAGGAUCUAGCAAUAGAUUGCUGGCGACCGGCGCACGGGUGAGUAACACGUAUCCAACCUGCCGAUAACUCGGGGAUAGCCUUUCGAAAGAAAGAUUAAUACCCGAUGGCAUAAUUAGACCGCAUGGUUUGAUUAUUAAAGAAUUUCGGUUAUCGAUGGGGAUGCGUUCCAUUAGGCAGUUGGUGAGGUAACGGCUCACCAAACCUUCGAUGGAUAGGGGUUCUGAGAGGAAGGUCCCCCGCAUUGGAACUGAGACACGGUCCAAACUCCUACGGGAGGCAGCAGUGAGGAAUAUUGGUCAAUGGACGAGAGUCUGAACCAGCCAAGUAGCGUGAAGGAUGACUGCCCUAUGGGUUGUAAACUUCUUUUAUAUGGGAAUAAAGUUUUCCACGUGUGGAAUUUUGUAUGUACCAUAUGAAUAAGGAUCGGCUAACUCCGUGCCAGCAGCCGCGGUAAUACGGAGGAUCCGAGCGUUAUCCGGAUUUAUUGGGUUUAAAGGGAGCGUAGGUGGACAGUUAAGUCAGUUGUGAAAGUUUGCGGCUCAACCGUAAAAUUGCAGUUGAUACUGGA